rnacentral:rRNA from 1 species
UGCCAGACUCCUACGGGAGGCAGCAGUGAGGAAUAUUGGUCAAUGGACGAGAGUCUGAACCAGCCAAGUAGCGUGAAGGAUGACUGCCCUAUGGGUUGUAAACUUCUUUUAUAUGGGAAUAAAACGUUCCACGUGUGGGAUUUUGUAUGUACCAUAUGAAUAAGGAUCGGCUAACUCCGUGCCAGCAGCCGCGGUAAUACGGAGGAUGCGAGCGUUAUCCGGAUUUAUUGGGUUUAAAGGGUGCGCAGGCGGAUUUUUAAGUCAGCGGUCAAAUCGUGGGGCUCAACCCCAUCCAGCCGUUGAAACUGGGGAUCUAGAGUGUGCGAGAGGUAUGCGGAAUGCGUGGUGUAGCGGUGAAAUGCAUAGAUAUCACGCAGAACCCCGAUUGCGAAGGCAGCAUACCGGUGCACAACUGACGCUCAGGCACGAAAGCGUGGGUAUCGAACAGGAUUAGAUACCCGAGUA